GCCCACGUGGCACAGUGGUUAAAGUGCUUGGCUGCUAACUCAGAGGUUGGUGGUUCAAACCCACCAGUCUGCU
rnacentral:tRNA from 1 species